CUUGCCGUGUUCCCUGCUGGAUUGGCUCGCUACUGCUGCUCCCGACUGCACGCAAGGCUUCAGUAUUAGCCUUAAAUCUACUAAAGACCACCUCAUAUUCCUCAUCGUGACUCCUUGUCUCUAUAAACAAACAGAAGAAACAAAGUCAAGCUCUUUUAAUCUUCUGUUAGUCUUCCUCAGCUGCUCUACCAGUCCAUGGGAGCAAGACUCAACAGUGUAGGGUAUUUACGAGUAGGAUUUAAAGAAACAGCGUCUCACUGAUAACUGCAUUUUAACAAAUUCCAGUAGAUAUGUUAUUGAGCUGAUUGCUUAAGAGCUCCUACAUCUUUCUUGUAAAUUCUUCUCUACAUGCAUAUGCGACAGGAAGACAUACCUUUCUAAUCCUCAUUUAAUGCGAGCCAGAAGUGUGAUUCUUGUUGUGUCUGGUGCUGUAGAAACACCGAAGACAAGCACAGUCUGAUUUUAAAUUUCUCACAAAUGAUCGUUAUUUCUUUAAAAGGCUCAGGAUCAAGGGAAGAAAUCUACUAACUCCUCAAACAGCACUUCCUCCCUUCCCAUCAUCUAGGAAGGCCAUUUCAUUGUGGGCAUAGACUUCCCAAUAAGCUAGUUUUGCUGUGCUUGUGAGUUCAAAGAUCUUUCAGUGAGCAGAAGCACAAACUCAUUUUUACCAUGUUUCUCUUGUCUUCAUCCAAAUCCCCUCUGGACUGAAUGGCAGUUUGGCAGAUGCAGGACAGUAGAUCAAUCAUUUUCAAUAGAUGUUCAGUGGACAGGUCAGGCUGUGUGGACCAGGUUGUGCUCCCAGCUUUUCUUUCACACCUUCACUUUUCAGCCAGCUUUUGCAAAAAUGUCCUUCUGCAGGUGAAUCCAGGGCUAACUGGGAUGCAGGAUGCCUGGUGAGAGUGGGUAUCAUCAAGACAGAAGCAAAAUAAAACUUAGGGGAACAUGGUGACUGCAGUUAUGUGGUAGCUGUUGUAAGACAUGAUACGAUUUUGGUUCCUAUUGCAAAUGCCCACUUUCAGAGGUUGAACUUUGGCAUUAGUGGCAUAUUUCCAGGAGUGUUUGCAGGACAGUGGUCAUGAGGUGGGAAUUCCAUCAUUCAAAGUAAUGUUAUUCAGUACAGCUAAACACUGCAAAUUUCUUGAGUUUGCAAAAAGAGAUCUAUUCAAUGAGAGUUUCAGAAGUAUGGAGCAAAAGUAAACAAACAAACAAACAAACAAUCUGUCUUGAAAGUGUAAUUUGGAUAAAAGCUGAUUUCACAGAUUAUUAUUGUUUUUUUUUAAGGAAAUUGCAGAAUCUCUAAAAGUUGACUGGGUUUUGAAGGGUAGUGGUGUCCCUCAUGUUUACAUGGAUUCAGUGUACCCGUAUGUACCUAGUGACACUCAGGGCUUAUCAACUCCAGUAACUAAACUGAGUUUAAACUAAACUAAACUAAACUAACUAAACUGAGAUGCUAAAAGAAGUCACACUAGCAGAUAUCAGAUAGAUUUUUUCCUAGACAAAUUUUUUAGCAGGGAAUUUAGUCCUACUUUUUAGUCCAAAUUGUUAAUAGGGAUUAGAGAGGCUUUUAUUUUCUCUAUUAUCACUGCUUUUUUAUACUGAUGCACACUUACUACUAUUAGCAUUUUGCAAUCUAUGAAAUAGAUAGGAGCAGUGGAUUGGCAUAGGCCUUAUAUUGUAGUUUGAUAGUGUUCUCUACAAUUGUGCUCUUCAGACCAUACUGCAUUUCUCCCUUCUUAACUGAUAACAUCUUUUUAUUGUAAAGAGGUGAUAGCUAGAAACAAUGAAAUGCUGUCCCUAAAAGCUUAUAGAGCUGAGAAUGAUGGAGGAAAAUUACCAGUGAAUAUUUAGGUAAGGUAAAUGGAGUCAUGCAUUAGGAAAAUUGGAACUGUGCUGAAGAUAUUAGACAUACAGAUUUUCUUACACUAUCUUCUGAAAUGUGUUUGAUUUUAGCAACUGGAUCUUUUACGGAGGUCAAAGAGUUAUGCAUGUCACCACAUGUAAGAUGUAGUCAGAUAGUAACUGUCUGGUUAUUGUGAAGGAAAGAAGAAAUGCUGCAACUAGCUCUGCUAUAGGCCAUGUCCAGCUAAUAUAUGGUAAUGUGGUCCAGUCAGCACAAAGAUAACAGAAAAAAUGUACCCACAUAGUGUUCUCCAUCUCUCCAUAUUUACAUGGGACUCAAAUAUGCCUGUAGACUAACAUUUGGCAGCAAGUUUGGGGCAUGUGCUGUUAAGAGAACCGUGAAGAGUCCUCCAAACUGAUGAGAGGGCUGUCGGCUGCUGUAGAAAGAGAAUUUUUUAAAGGAUUGAACAGAAGAACUUGCAUGGCAACACCAGACUGUAAAUGGAUCGGUUGCAGUGUAAACAAUUUUUAUAUCAUAAUACUACAAUGAGAAAAGAAAAAACUGAUUCUUAAGACCCUUUGAUAUCUGAAACCAAUAAAAUUAUUAAAGAUGGAAUGAAAAACUGAAGUCUUGAGUUCCACAAAGUUGGUUGCCUCCUACUUGUAACACUAGAUGACAUUUCUUUGCAGGGUGCUUAUGUUAACGAACAAAAUCCAUAGCUCUUGGCUUCUAAACAAUGAAGACAGUCAGUUUCAAAGAGCUGAUGAAUUAGUUUUCCUGGGGGAGGAGAGCAGCUGUAUUCCUCAUUGAACACCUUUCUGGCUUGUUCUUUGUAACUUUUCCGAAGGGUGUAUAUGAACAGACUUUCAAAGCAAAUCUGUGAAGCAAGUGGUAAAAUAAGGUCAUGCUUUGGUGGGAGAAGGAAAACAAAAGGUAGAAGCCAAAGGAAGGAAAACAAAAAUUAGAUAGAAAAAGCAAAUAGAAAGAAAGAAGAAAAAA
rnacentral:lncRNA from 1 species